AAAACUCAAAGGAAUUGACGGGGACCCGCACAAGCGGUGGAUGAUGUGGAUUAAUUCGAUGCAACGCGAAAAACCUUACCUACCCUUGACAUGUACGGAAGCCUUCAGAAAUGAGGGUGUGCUCGAAAGAGAGCCGUAACACAGGUGCUGCAUGGCUGUCGUCAGCUCGUGUCGUGAGAUGUUGGGUUAAGUCCCGCAACGAGCGCAACCCUUGUCCCUAGUUGCUACGCAAGGGCACUCUAGGGAGACUGCCGGUGACAAACCGGAGGAAGGUGGGGAUGACGUCAAGUCCUCAUGGCCCUUAUGGGUAGGGCUUCACACGUCAUACAAUGGCCGGUACAGAGGGUUGCCAAAGCGCGAGCUGGAGCCAAUCCCAGAAAGCCGGUCGUAGUCCGGAUUGCAGUCUGCAACUCGACUGCAUGAAGUCGGAAUCGCUAGUAAUCGCGGAUCAGCAUGUCGCGGUGAAUACGUUCCCGGGUCUUGUACACACCGCCCGUCACACCAUGGGAGCGGGAUGUACCAGAAGUAGGUAGGCUAACCGCAAGGAGGCCGCUUACCACGGUGCGUUUCGUGACUGGGGUGAAGUCGUAACAAGGUAGCCGAAUCGAAUUCCCGC
rnacentral:rRNA from 1 species